AUAUCCAGGUGCUGGGGUGUUAUAAAUACAGACCGAGAGAUGUGCAGUUAAGCCUUCACCACAGUGCCAAUUUGUACUGCUGGCUGCAGUAAUCACAGCUCACGACUUGGAGCAGAGGGGGAAAAAUGUGUUUUCCAAAGAAGCAAUAAGAAAUCCCAGAAGAAUGAAUAUUCCAUCAGGAGAAUACCAUGAGAUAAAGUAUUCUAUUUAUAUUUGUAUUGAAUUCCUGCUGUGAGGAGAAUUGCUACAAUUUGACAGCAUCAGAUAUCUGUGUGUGAAGAGGAUGAGUUUUGUUUACCUGUCCAACUUAAAUCUACCCUGAUAGCUGUGCCCUCUCCUCAGCUCUUCCAGUAUCUGAAUGGACUCCUAGAAUGGAGAGGGGACAUUGAACUCCACUUUUUGGAGCAUACUUGGCUGAAAGUAAGUGUUCCAUCAGACUCCACCUGAAAACUUGCCUUGGUUUUUGGCUGAAACUUCUACAUAUCACCUGGAGAGGGGAAAUGCCCUUAUUCUGUUCAACAAGUCGGUUUGGUAAAAUGGAAUCAGGAGUGCUAUAACUGCUGCUGGCAAUCCAUAUGGAAAAAUAGCAAGGAUUUCAAUAGUCCAAAUGCUUUCUACACUCUUGCCAGCCUCAGCAAUGAAGAUAACAGUUUAAAAAGACGGUAAAUGCCAUUUUCACUUUUUAAAAAAAAAUUUCUUUUUAAUCCAAACACGGACUGUCAUUUUAUGAAAAAAAAAAAGUGAUAAUGACUUAUUUUUAUUUGAAUACUGGAAAUUCAUUACAGCUCAUUAAGUCCUCAUUUGUAGAUGAAAAGGAAGUGUGGUUCAAUGUGAUCAGUUCAGCCUGUUUGGUACAUAAAGAGAGACUUGCACCACCUAACUUCAAGAGCUUUUGGUGCCUAAACCAGAAACUAAUCUUUUUAAGCCUCCAAUGGAAUUCAUGAUAAGAGAGAGAGAGAGAUUUCUCCAGAGGGUGAUUCAGAGUAAGAAUUUAACUCUGGUGCUUUGCAUUGGACCCUCCAGAGAAAACCCAGCUUCCCCUUUUAGGUGUAAAGUGUGUGAGCAGCUUUCUAACGUGGGCACUUUAGUUAGGGGAGUGAAAUCCUGUAUCUCAAUCGAGACAAACAUUUUCUUGCUAAAUAAUGAUUUCUCUGUAAAAUACGAUUUUCCUGUCUUGAAAUAGUUUGUGGGUAUUGGUAAUGUUAAAAAAAAUUGUAAUUCUGCAGCUAGAACGAGUGCAGGGAAGUACAAUUUGCUGGUGAGUGAUG